rnacentral:rRNA from 1 species
AUUGAACGCUGGCGGCAUGCCUUACACAUGCAAGUCGAACGGCAGCACGGGAGCAAUCCUGGUGGCGAGUGGCGAACGGGUGAGUAAUACAUCGGAACGUGCCCAGUAGUGGGGGAUAGCCCGGCGAAAGCCGGAUUAAUACCGCAUACGACCUAUGGGUGAAAGCGGGGGAUCGCAAGACCUCGCGCUAUUGGAGCGGCCGAUGUCAGAUUAGGUUGUGGUGGGGUAAAGGCCUACCAAGCCGACGAUCUGUAGCUGGUCUGAGAGGACGACCAGCCACACUGGGACUGAGACACGGCCCAGACUCCUACGGAGGCAGCAGUGGGGAAUUUUGGACAAUGGGGGCAACCCUGAUCCAGCCAUGCCGCGUGCGGGAAGAAGGCCUCGG